AUGGGGUCUCUGAUUUACUGCAGUAUCUGGUUCCAUCGAGAGUUCUCUCCUACCUCCCACCUAUGGAAAACAUGUCUGCUCUUGAGAUUCUCUCUAUCUAGUAGGUUUGGCUGGGUUUUGCCUGUUUUCCUGAAAACAAUGAAAGACGGAAUUAACAGGACAGAGCAAGGUUCUUCCUCUCCCAGGAGUCCCAGAAGAAAGAGGUCAUUCCUCCAGCGCUCCAGGAAAAUAGCAUUGUUGUUACAAACAUAAGCACAUGUUCCCCCCAAAAGGAGUUGAUAUAAAGAGGAAGACAUAAAAGCUAAAAAAAGGGAGAGAUGAAAGAAAAAUUGGUAAGUGAAUGAAAAUGUCCAGGUCCCAGUGAAUGUUUGA
rnacentral:lncRNA from 1 species